GUGCCCUUGAGAACAGCUGUACCCUAUGGUGUGCUAUGUAGGAUUUGCAUACCCAUUGUCACAUCACAGAUACUUAGUCAAGACAAGUGUCAAAACACUGAUAGUGCAUGAUAGGAAUCGGAACUCCGCUUAGAGCUGGGGAAGGUGGCAUGAACCCAUGGUCCUGGUUUUGGCGGACUGGGGCAGGAGAUUGUUUGGGCCCAGGAAUCUAAAGCUAGCCUGGGAAGCACAGCAAGACCUCUAUCAAAACCAAACAAAAAGACAAAUAGAAAAGGAAAAGGGAGUCCAUGUAGACAGCGAGAAAGCCAAGGAAAAUUCCUCAAGGAAGAAGAAAUAGAAGAUCCCUACAUAUUAGGUCAAAAAGAAUGUGAAUCAAGUCUUGCAGUAGAGGCCAGACUGGUCUGGACUUCGUGAUCCACCUACCUUAGCUGGCUGAGUAGCUGGGAUUACCGUCAUGUACCACCAACUCACCAGGCCUGCCAUAUUUUAUAAUCACAGCAUUGAGAAGCUGGACCUCAAGACGCCCUCGCCUUUUUAUAAAUUAAUCUACUUA